UGGAGAAGGUCACUUCCAGGGCUUCCCCUGAAUUGCAGAAAUGGACUGUGCAGGCAAUCAUUCCCAAGAAGGGAAGGAUUUUCCCCCCUACAAACUAACAGGGGGAAAGUGAAGAGGGGGGAGGAUAUUCUUUGUUGGCAGAACUUACCAAGUUUCAAGCAACAAAAAGAUAAUGAAUGAUGUGUUCAAAACAGGUCAGGUUCUGAAGUUUAACUGGAGCAGCAAAAGGAAAAGCAGAAAAGUGGGGAAUGCACAAAGGACUGCAGAAAUCCUGAAAGCACAACAACUUGCAUUCCUCCACUCCCUGUCGUCUCUCCCCUCAAGGUGAGCAUUUUCAUGGAGCACAGUGCAGCAGCAGUGAUGUAACUUUGUGCUCCAGGGAUCACAGCUGCUGUCUGAUACUUUCAGCUCAGAGGAGCUGGGUUCCCAACACCCUGCAGGGAAAACCAAUGGUGCUUUCUUCCAACUUACCCUCCUCCUAGACUCUUCAAUGGCAGACAGCAAUGCAUUAUCUUUUUCAUUCUUCAGGAAACCCUGCAGAAAAGGAGAAACAGAACUUCAGCCAAAAAAAUC